rnacentral:pre_miRNA from 1 species
UCAACUCAAAUUUGUAUGCAGUUGGAACGUUUGCGUACGUUUGCCGCUAGGGGCGCUGUUCCAACUGCAUACAAAUUUGAGUUG